UACGUAGGGGGCAAGCGUUGUCCGGAUUUAUUGGGCGUAAAGAGCUCGUAGGCGGUUUGUCGCGUCGGAUGUGAAAACCCGGGGCUCAACCCCGGGCCUGCAUUCGAUACGGGCAGACUAGAGUUCGGUAGGGGAGUCUGGAAUUCCUGGUGUAGCGGUGAAAUGCGCAGAUAUCAGGAGGAACACCGGUGGCGAAGGCGGGACUCUGGGCCGAUACUGACGCUGAGGAGCGAAAGCGUGGGGAGCAAACAGG
rnacentral:rRNA from 1 species